ACAAGCAACAAUGAAGCCGGCAAGGGGACCACGCCAGCGGCUCAGUGAUCCUCAGAGUGCUGCACUCCAAUGUCCUCAAUGAGUCUUUCUGCAUAUAAUCACUUUAUUUUGCACCGCGAGCCACCAUGAAUCUCGCCUUGAUCGAUCCGUUUGUCCUUGCUCAAGAUUACCCAGAUGCCCUUACCGGCAAGCUUCGCUGCGGACAUGCUACUUGCUUAAGGUUCAACCGCAAGGGUGACUACUUGGCUUCUGGACGAGUCGAUGGCACGAUCGUGAUAUUUGACGUGGAAACCAAUGGCGUAGCUCGAAAGCUACGAGGACACAGCAAACAGAUUCAGAGUCUGAGCUGGUCGAGAUGUGGUAGAUAUCUACUCAGUUCCUCACAGGAUUGGAAGUGUGUAUUAUGGGAUAUGAAAGAUGGCUCCCGGGUGCGAACCGUGAGAUUCGAAGCCCCUGUAUACAUUGCGGAAUUGCACCCAUUUAACCACUGGCUCUUUGUGGCUUCGCUAUUCGAAAAGCAACCGGUUCUCGUCGA
rnacentral:sRNA from 1 species